rnacentral:rRNA from 1 species
AUGACCUCAGCUCAAGCAAGAAUACCCGCUGAACUUAAGCAUAUCAAUAAGCGGAGGAAAAGAAACUAACAAGGAUUCCCCUAGUAAUGGCGAAUGAAGAGGGAAAAGCUCAAAUUUUAAAUCUACCUGGUUCCCAGGUCGAGUUGUAAUUUGAAGAAGCGAUAUCGGUGUGGAGGUCUGGUUCAAGUUCUUUGGAACAAGACAUCAUGGAGGGUGAGAAUCCCGUGCAUGAUCAGACCAAGAUACUUAAUAUUCGCUUUCUAAGAGUCGAGUUGUUUGGGAAUGCAGCUCAAAUUGGGUGGUAGACUUCACCUAAGGCUAAAUAUCAGCGAGAGACCGAUAGCGAACAAGUACUGUGAAGGAAAGAUGAAAAGAACUUUGAAAAGAGAGUUAAAUAGUACGUGAAAUUGUUGAAAGGGAAACGAUUGAAGUCAGUCAUGCCAGUGAAAAUUCAGUUUGGUGGGUUUUGGGUUCAGGAGUUGAGGCAGGGUCAAACCGUUUCUCUUUUGAUCUUGGAAUUUGUCAGAUGCACUUUUUCUUUGGCAGGUCAGCGUCGAUUUCGGAGGUUGUAAAAUACUUGGGGAAAAGUAGCUCUGCUUCGGGAGAGUGUUUAUAGACCUUGGGUGAUGCGGCCUGCGGGAUCGAGGAUUGCAGCAAAUGCUUUUGGCUUGUCGCCUGAUCUCUGGACGUCAUCUCGCUUGUAUCAACAUUCUUGGUACCGGUGAGUAAUGGUGCUCAUAGGUUAGAGCGAUCAAAAAUUUGCUAAGGAUGCUGACGUAAUGGCUUUAAACGACCCGUCUUGAAACACGGACCA